rnacentral:rRNA from 1 species
UACGGAGGGGACUAGCGUUGUUCGGAAUUACUGGGCGUAAAGCGCACGUAGGCGGAUUUGUAAGUCAGGGGUGAAAUCCUGAGGCUCAACCUCAGGCCUGCGCGGGAUACUGCUUGGCUAGAGUCCGGAAGACGGAGAGUGGAAUCCUGGUGUAGCGGUGGAAUGCGCAGAUAUCAGGAGGAACAUCCGUGGCGAAGGCGGCUCUCUGGGACGGUACUGACGCUGAGACGCGAAAGCGUGGGGAGCGAACAGG